rnacentral:lncRNA from 1 species
AAAAAAAAUUAUUUCGAUGAACUGUAUAAUAUGACCAUAAUGUUAAUUUGUAUUUGGAAAGCAAUACCUGUAAUAUUGUAUAGGUUAAAGUAGAAAAACAUUUCCCAAUAAAGAUCAAAAGCUUUCUUAAUUACGCAUUGACCGUUGACCAUGAGCAAAACGAAUUGAAUAUUAACGACAUAUUUGAAGCAUAACACAUAUCUUUUUCUAGCAUACAUCAG